AUGUAUGUAAAAUUUCCGUUUUGUCAGUUUCACCGGAUUCAUCCCCAUCAUGCAGAAACAGAAGUUUCCAGCAGAUGGCGCCAGAGGCCGUCUUUUCUCCGCCUCCCCGCGCGCUCCUCGCCGUUUCCGGAUCAGCACGUUCUCUCGAGAAAACGACAUUUCUCUGUCCGCGCCAGGCGCGCGCCGCAGCGGAAAACCCCAGCAAGACGCCUGGCAAGCAGCACAGCCCCACGGGUUGCAGCCCUGGGCGUAAGACCAGCCGCCAGGAAUCCCGGCUUCCAAAUAGUUGAUGGGUUUCGCGCCAGCUCCGCUUUGAAGCAGCGGCCCUGCAGGACCGGGGGUCAGGCUCGUCCCUCCCACGGACCCCCGUGGAAGCAGCUGCCCAGACGUCUUGAGAAGAGUGUCUAUAUUCACCUACAAGUAAUCAUGAAAGCACUUCCCCCACCAGAUCAUGUCUUACCCUUGCAAGCUUUCCAGCUGUCUUGUUCCAUGUACAACACCAAGACCAAUGAAGGUCCUUACAAGGAUAAUAGGGGUUACUUCCGGACUGCAUGA
rnacentral:lncRNA from 13 species